UGUACUGAACUGAAAAACUUUGAUUACACUCCAAAGAUGGCCUCAUGGUAUAAGUGGCAAUAGGUAAAUACCCCUGAAGACACCUUUUCUCUGCCUACUUAAGAACGUCCUUUUAUCCCAUCACAGCAAAAUUCCAGAAACUCUCGUUAGUUCUUCAUAAACAGAAGAACACUAGCUAGUUAUGUCUUUCAUGCACUCAAAACAUACGUCUUUCAUGUAAUCUCUCAUUAGUGCUGCACAAUGAGCAUAGUAACAGUUAACAGACAAUGACAACCUCCAGGGGGACCUUCAGAGUUGUCGCCAGAGAGCGCGAUCGUUUGGUGGUGGUCAAUCAUGUUUCCAGCAACCACAGCAUCAAUGGUUAUCAGUUGAAACUCAGGUUCCAUUUCUGAUUUGUUCUUCCCACCCCCAUGUUGUCGCAUGUAAUAGGAUGUUCACGUGUUGUGGGAGCCCCCCCUUCUCUCUUCUGUCAUCCUGCAAUGUAACUUAGUCUUGUGAUCCAUUUUUUGCCAAACCCUACAAGGAAGUCGCCAUCUAGUUUUGGUUUAUCCAUUAAAGUUGUGGUCUUGUGGCAUCAGCAAAAUAAGUAUGGCGUGCCUUGUGUUUGGUUGGGUUGCAAACCUGAUUUUGAGCAGGUAAUCCGGGUAAAGUUCUUUGUCUUCUGUUCUGAUCGUAUGAACACAGCAGUACUAUUAUGUCUGAUGCACCGCCACUGUGAUGCUGAUGCUUCAGAAUCGGAAGCUACUCUGGCGGCCGAAAUCUUUGAACAUUGGUCCCAAUCAGUGGAAAUGAAAUCAAUGAAUCUUCUGCAUGAUAUCAGCAUGACUCAUCCAACAAUUUUCUAUUCAUAGAUUUAUAACAGAAAAACAGAGACCACCCUAUUCUCGUCUUAGUUUUGCUGCUAAUAACUUCAAAAAAGAAACAUAACAUGCACAUGAUUGAUUAACCUAGGACAAAUUCCAUAUCAUUAAAUUUGAAUUGUUUGAACUGUCAGUAAUCACUAUUAUCCACUUGGACUCGGUUGAAUCUUUUCUCCAACUCCAGUCAAAGGGGUAUGACAUUCAUAUAGGACUUCUGCUAGGAGGAUGCCGCGCCGGUUGUUUAAUUACUGCCCUUCCUAAUCUCUACAUCCAAUACGUAUACCACGUCGGGAUGAUAGUCGCCCAUAUUAUGACAUGUGAAGCUUUAUAUUAUCUUGAUUUAGUUACUACACAUGUUAGACUCGCAUUAAUGUAUUCAUGUUGUUUAAUUUUCUUUCAACUUUUGUAUAUCUCAAACUGAGAAAAAAAGUCCAUGAUGAUUCCGAAUUAAUAUGUUUUCUCGUUAUGUUU
rnacentral:lncRNA from 1 species